rnacentral:rRNA from 1 species
AUUGACCGCUGGCGGCAGGCCUCACACAUGCAAGUCGAACGAGUGGCGGACGGGUGAGUAAUGUCUGGGAAACUGCCCGAUGGAGGGUGAUAACUACUGGAAACGGUAGCUAAUACCGCAUACCAUCGGAUGUGCCCAGAUUGGAUUCGCUAGUAGGUGGGGUAACGGCUCACCUAGGCGACGAUCCCUAGAUGGUCUGAGAGGAUAGCCAGCCACACUGGAACUGAGCCACGGUCCAGACUCCUACGGGAGGCAGUAGUGGGUAAUAUUGCACAAUGGGCGCAAGCCUGAUGCAGCCAUGCCGCGUGUAUGAAGAAGGCCUUCGGGUUGUAAAGUACUUUCAGCGAGGAGGCGUUACUCGCAGAAGAAGCACCGGCUAACUCCGUGCCAGCAGCCGCGGUAAUAC